GGCUCAGUGGUCUAGGGGUAUGAUUUUCGCUUCGGGUGCGAGAGGUCCCGGGUUCAAUUCCCGGCUGAGCCC
rnacentral:tRNA from 1 species